rnacentral:rRNA from 1 species
AUACGGAGGAUCCGAGCGUUAUCCGGAUUUAUUGGGUUUAAAGGGUGCGCAGGCGGGAGAUUAAGUCGGUGGUGAAAUUUUGCAGCUUAACUGUAAAAAUUGCUUCGGAACCUGUUUUCUUUAGUGUAGAGGAAGGCGGCGGGAAUUGUGGGGGUGCGGGGAAAUGCAUAGAUAUCACGAGGAACUCCGAUUGCGCAGGCAGCUUACUAAACUACUACUGACGCUCAGGCACGAAGGCGUGGGGAUCAAACAGGAUUAGAUACCCUGGUAGUCCACGCAGUAAACGAUGAUUACUAGCUGUUUGCGAUACAAUGUAAGCGGCUGAGCGAAAGCGUUAAGUAAUCCGCCUGGGGAGUACGUUCGCAAGAAUGAAACUCAAAGGAAUUGACGGGG